UGGCGGCCUUAGCGCGGUGGUCCCACCUGACCCCAUGCCGAACUCAGAAGUGAAACGCCGUAGCGCCGAUGGUAGUGUGGGGUCUCCCCAUGCGAGAGUAGGGAACAGGCAUCAA
rnacentral:rRNA from 1 species